UCACAGGAUGGCGUCAGGUAUUGUUGCUGCAGCUGGUGUUGUGAAUCAGGCCGACAACAAGCUCAUCCUACUAUCCGGCUAUUUCACUACACCAGGGUUGCAUCAUACCACUCAACUUCGCUACGCAA
rnacentral:pre_miRNA from 15 species